UUGGACCUGGUCAGUGGGACUCAAAAUUCUGGGAAAGGCUUCCAGGAGCUGGGGUGCUGGAGAGAUGGUGGUCUCAGGGCCUGGUCCUCUGAGAUCACUUGGGAUCCUGCCCUAUCUGCAGGAAAGUGAGAUCCUGGAGUCUCUCAGGGAGCCUGGGGCCCCGGAGAAACCUGUCUGACUGCUUCCCUGCCCCACCUGGUUUCCUGCCCAGCGCCUGGGGUGUAGCUGCCUCACCUCUGCAGCCUUCCCCAGGGGGCCCAGUGGAUGGGGGUGAGUCUGUGAGACCCCAGAAGCUACUGGAGGCCCUGAGUGCCUUCUCCUGCUCUGGGGGUGUCAGGCAAGGGCAGCCAGAAGAGGGAGCCCAGGGCUGGGUUGGGGCAUCUGCCCCUUUACUGCCCCUCCCCACCCCCCAGGUUCACCUCACUCUGGGCUGGAGGUCAGAGAUCCAAGCCCAGGACUCACACACAGGCAUCCCAUCCUGGGCAGUCCCUCCCUGGGAUUGGUCCUUUCUGCCUCCCACCCUACCUCCUCCACAGCCCACUGGGGCCCUUGGUGCUGUGGUGGGGUAGGGGGUGAUGGACAGGGCAGGAGGAGAGGCUGAAGAUGGGGACUGGUCCAGGUGAUGGGAUGCUCCACCAGGGCCAGCUAAUUUCCUGCCUCUCUUUUGUGUCCCCUCAGCCACCAAUGACCUGAUCGAACAACCCAUCAAAGUGACCAAGUAGCAACAGAUGUACACCUAUGACUCGGGCAUCCACUCGGGGGCCAACACCUGCGUGCCCUCAGUCAGCAGCAAGGGCAUCGUGGAGGAGGACGAGGCCUGCGGGCACCAGUACACGCUCAAGAAGACCACCAUCUGCACCCAGGCGGUGCCCCAGAGCCAAGGUCGGGGUUCCUGGGGACUCUUCUGUGGGAAUAUUCCAGCAGAAGGCCAGGCUGGGCCUGGAAGGAGUCAGCGUCAAAAGAGACAGACUUUAAGGGGCUCCCAGACUGAGCAGGGAGGCGCAGCGACUUCCAGGCGCCCCCAUCUGGGAGGGAGGCAGAUUACACUUCCAUGAAUGUAUUGUGUGAAGAGGAGGCAUAGACCCUCUCCUCCAUGCCUAGAGUAAAGCAGGGGGAGUGAUGGGUGACAGUGUUACACAAGAGGAAGUCAAGGAAGGCCUCUCUGAGGAGGUGACACUGAGCAGUGCUGAAUGGAGUAAAGGACCUGGUCCUCCAAACAUCUUGGGGAAGAGUAUUCCAGGCAGAGGAAACAGCCUGUGUAAAGGCUUCAUCCUACUCCAUGGUAGAGAAAUCUCCCUUCUGCCCAGAAUUUGUGCACAUCUCUCUCACAGCACUCUCUCCUUUCAUCUUGCUUUGUGGGCUUUUUAGGCACAUAUCUUCAUUCUUAUCCUAUAGGUGCCUUGAAGGCAGCAUCUGCAUUUGAUCCAGCUCAAUGUCUCUCCCUGGGCUUUGCACAGUUUCUGGCACACACUAGGUGGUCGUUAAGGGCAGAAAGCACGGCUGGACAGAUGGACGGAUAGGCUGUUUUGCUGGUGGGUGGAUGGAUGCACUGAAGGAUGAGAGGAGAAGAUAAUGGGUGUUUGUAGCCCGCAAGCCCCAUCCAGCCUGUCAGGCCUUGCUCCUUUCCUCUGAUUCCUGGCCUCCCUUUCUCCUGCAUCUCCCUUCUCCCUCAGCUUAGUCCCCUCUAAAAACCCCCUUCUCCCUAUUCUAAGGGCUGUGCCUGGCUUUCAUAGAAAGUGACUUCAACAUAACAAAGGCAAAUGAAAAUACAGAUGGCAGCUUUGACUAUGGCAUCUUCCAGAUCAACAGCCAUGACUGGUGCAGAAAUUACCAGAGUCACACGGAAAACCCUUGUCACGUGGACUGUCAAGUUCUGGCUGGGGCCCCGGGGUGGGAGAGGACUGCUGAGCCCCAACCUUCACUCAAUCAUCAACUGUGCAAAAAAGCUUGUGUCUGGAGCAGGGGGCAUGAAGAACUGGGUAAAAUGCAGGCUGCACUGUGCAGGCCGGCCACUCUCCUGCUGGAGGACAGGAUGCCACCUGGGAUGAGGCAGGGGACAGGCCUGUGGUGGAGUCACUCCAGAAUUCCUCUCCUCACUUUGAAAUUCUUCAUUUCUUCUUCCUCUUGCCUCCACUUCCUGUUAUUUUCUUCCCUUCCAUUUACAAAUAAAACUGACCAGAGCCCCAGAAGUAGAUGAUGUUCUAGGACUUCCUCCUUGUUCCCAUCUAGGCCCAGGCCUCUGGU